rnacentral:lncRNA from 1 species
CCCUGCUCCUCCAUGAUAGGUCAGCUACAUCAUCACCCUGCUCCUCCAUGAUAGGUCAGCUAACAUCAUCACCCCUGCUCCUCCAUGAUAGGUCAGCUACAUCAUCACCCCUGCUCCUCCAUGAUAGGUCAGCUACAUUGUCAUCCUGCUAAUCCAUGAUAGGUCAGCUCCAUCAUCACCCUUGCUCCUCCAUCAAUGGUCAGCUAGAUCAUCACCCCUGCUCCUCCAUGAUAGGUCAGCUACAUAAUCGACCCUGCUCCUCCAUGAUAGGUCAGCUACAUCAUCACCCCUGCUCCUCCAUGAUAGGUCAGCUACAUCAUCCUACUCCUCCAUGAUAGGUCAGCUACAUCAUCACUACUGCUCCUCCAUGAUAGGUCAGCUACAUCAUCACCCCUGCUCCUCCAUGAUAUGUCAGCUACAUCAUCACCCCUGCUCCUCCAUGAUAUGUCAGCUAAAUCAUCACCCCUGCUCCUCCAUGAUAGGUCAGCUACAUCAUCACCCCUGCUCCUCCGUGAUAGGUCAGCUACAUCAUCACCCCUGCUCCUCCAUGAUAGGUCAGCUACAUCAUCACCCCUGCUCCUCCAUGAUAGGUAAGCUACAUCAUUCUGCUCCUCCAUGAUAGGUCAGCUACAUCAUCACCCCUGCACCUCCAUUAUAGGUCAGCUACAUCAUCGCUCCUGCUCCUCCCUGAUAGGUAAGCCACAUAAUUCUGCUCCUCCAUGAUAGGUCAGCUACAUCAUCACUCCUGCUCCUUCAUGAUAGGUCAGCUACAUCAUCACCCCUGCUCCUCCAUGAUAGGUCAGCUACAACAUCACCACUGCUACUCUAUGAUAGGUCAGCUACAUCAUCAUCCCUGCUCCUCCAUGAUAGGUCAGCUACAUCAUCACCCCUGCUCCUCCAUGAUAGGUCAGCUACAUCAUCACCCCUGCUCCUCCAUGAUAGGUCAGCUACAUCAUCACCCCUGCUCCUCCAUUAUAGGUCAGCUACAUCAUCUCUCCUGCUCCUCCAUGAUAGGUCAGCUACAUCAUCAUCCUGCUCCUCCAUGAUAGGUCAGCUACAUCAUCACCC